UCCGGUUUGACACCGGCAGUCUCCCUAGAGUGCCCGACUUUACUCGCUGGUAACUAGGGACGAGGGUUGCGCUCGUUGCGGGACUUAACCCAACAUCUCACGACACGAGCUGACGACAGCCAUGCAGCACCUGUGUACGGGCCCCGAAGGGAAACCGGUGUUUCCACCAGUCGUCUCGUACAUGUCAAGCCCAGGUAAGGUUCUUCGCGUUGCUUCGAAUUGAACCACAUGCUCCACCGCUUGUGCGGGCCCCCGUCAAUUCCUUUGAGUUUCAGCCUUGCGGCCGUACUCCCCAGGCGGGGCACUUACUGCGUUAGCGACGGCACCGGGAGGGUCGCUCCCCCCGACGCCUAGUGCCCAUCGUUUACGGCGUGGACUAC
rnacentral:misc_RNA from 1 species